rnacentral:rRNA from 1 species
CCGUAGCCCAAGAAGACUGGGAUAACACCUGGAAACAGAUGCUAAUACCGGAUAACAACACUAGACGCAUGUCUAGAGUUUGAAAGAUGGUUCUGCUAUCACUCUUGGAUGGACCUGCGGUGCAUUAACCAGUUGGUAAGGUAACGGCUUACCAAGGCAAUGAUGCAUAGCCGAGUUGAGAGACUGAUCGGCCACAUUGGGACUGAGACACGGCCCAA